AAUAUAUAUAUGGAUAGAUGGAUGGAUGGAAGAAUAAAUUAAAAUGUGAAUGAAUGAAUAAUGGAAAGCAGGACUUUUGUUAAACUUUCUAUAUUGUGUUUUGUUAAACACAAUAACAAGUAUUGUGUUAGAUUCUUUAUAUGACAUUGCCAAUGAUGUAGACCAAAAACAUAUCUUGUUUAUUCCUCAUAGCAAUUCUGCAAGACAAUUAUUGGCAUCAUUAUCAAAGAUGAAGAAAUUGCAGUUUGAGGAGAGUGAGAGAUAAAGUCAAACAACUGAUACAUAGAAAUCAAAGGAUUAGUGCAAUAUCUGUCAUAUGCCAAAGCCUGUAAGCCUCCUACAGUGCCCCCUGCCUUUUCUGAGCCUCAGCUUUCUUAUCCGUAAAAUGGCAUUGAUAAUACUUCUUUCCUAAUGUUAAUUGAACAAAAGAAGCUCAUACUAACUGAAGCCUCUUCUCAGAAAUCUCCCUGGAAGUUUGGGGUUCCUCUAUGUGUGACUUGGAGACAUCAUAACCACUACUGCACUGAUGACGCCUCUACCACUUUCACCGCCACCAACAGCAACUCCUUGACCAAUACCUUCCUCCUUCACUACUGCCUCCACCAGAACCUCUUCCAUCUCCAACACCUCCACCAUCACCACCAUGAUAAUCACUGUGAUUGUAAAAACAUCAGGACCUAUAGUAAGCAAGAUAUUUGACACUUAGAAUUCCUACUCCACACUAGAAUCCUAUCAAGGAGACAUUUUAUUUUGGCUUGCCUAUAGGGAAACAAAGUCUCAGAAAAGUUGAAUAAUCUCUCUAAAGUCUCACGACUUCUAAGCAGUAGAGCAAGAGGUUGACACCAAGCCCAUCUGGACCCAAAUACUGUGAUGUCUUCACUUUAGUAAUCUUUUCCUUUGCCCACACAAUCAUUUCUGUUCUGAAAGGUCAAGCAUCAUUUUCCUCUCUAGAAUAUAGGAGAAUUCCUCUUUUAGCCUUUGUCUACUGCAGAUAUUGUGAAGUAAUCUCGUCUGGGAGUGACUAUCUUAAUUACUGAAAUAACAGGAAGUUAAUGCCACUACAGAUGCUGGGAAGGAAAAGGUUGUAGGGGAGUUGGUAAAUGUGGAAGAGUCACAUGUCAGAUUAAAACAGGUCACAAUGAUGAGCUCUGACUGCUCUGAAAGGCAACAAUGUCCGUCCAGCUAAGGUGGGGGAGAAAUAGGGACCUGGCAAUGCCACCAUCCUUCUGUCAGGAUAGGGGUGUAGGGUUGCUGUCACAUCGGAAGUGAGGGCAGCCUGAAGGUUGGGGUUAGCAUUCAACAAGAGGAUUGAAAGGACACUUUAAAAUCUAGAUAGCGUAUCUAAAGGAUGCCUGAGGAGAAUUCCAGUCUUUUAUAGAGGGAUAGGGAGAUUGAAUAUGUUUUGCUUUUGAAAGCUUUAUAUUUGCAACUUUGUAGUUCUUUCUGCCAUAUAUUUGAGGUGAAAUGGGUAUUAAAUUGCAAAAGCAACACAGUCCAUGCCUAUUUUUUUACACACAAAUACUCUUAGAGUAAAUUCUGUCUCAGUAAGCACCUAGCACAUAGAAGGGUGUUUGGAUAAUGCCUUUAUCCAGUUUAUCACUAAACUGGUAGUUCUGGUGAAGUAGAAUGUCUUUAUCCAGUUGCACAGAACUAGUAUCUCCUCUAUCCCAUUAAAGAGAAAAUUGAUUUAUUAACUGUUGAUAUUUACACUUGGGGAAUUCAUCAGGCUACUUGAUCAGUAGAACCAGGAAUCCUGCAUAGAUUGCUGUGGUAUAAGGAGAAGAUACCAAUAGGAAAUAGGUGAGGGUAUAGAGUUGAGUGGUUUUGUUGUGCAUGAAAUGUUAAUGCUUGUUCAUCACGAAGAAUAUCUUAUUUCUGAAACCAAGUAUGACCACACUCUGUCACUCUCAAGUGUCUAAGGAAUAUAUUUCCACUUUUGUUGUCCCUAUAAGAAUGUUUUGCUGGGGUCCUGCAAACUUACUGCCAGUCAGAAGGCAGGCUGCAGGCUGGGCAUGGUGGCUUUCACCUGUAAUCCCAGUACUUUGGGAGGCCGAGGCAGGCGGAUCACCUAAGGUCAGGAGUUCGAGACCAGCCUGGUCAACAUGGCGAAACUCUGUCUCUACUAAAAAUACAAAAAUUGGCCAGGCAUGGUGGCAGGCACCUGUAAUCCCAGCUACUCGGGAGGCUGAGGCAGGAGAACCCAGGAGGUGGAGUUGCAGUGAGCAGAGAUCAUGCUGCUGCAUUCCAGCUUGGGCGACAGAGUGAGACUCUGUCUCAAAAAACAAACAAACAAAAACAAAAAAAAGGCAGUCUGCAAAUGCAGAUAUUGCAUAUUGUUCUUAUAUGACUAUGCAGAGAAAGGCUCUCAGAAACUCCAUUACAUAAGAGUAAUUGGCUGAGAAAUCCAGAUUAGCCACCUGAUUUUAUCUGCUGAGGUGCUGGAAAUGAUGGGAUUUUCAUAUUUUUUAAAGUCUUCGAAGCAUUUUGUGUUUCGUUUCAUUUAUUAAAGUAAGUAAAUAGCCUCAUCAGAUAGUUUAUACAUCUCUUUGGAUAGGUCAUACAAAUGUGUUCUACAAGAGCUUACAUGUGAGUAAAUUUAAUGUUUAAAGUGUAAAUAUAUAGAUAGGGCUCACAAAGUAGUUUUCAUAAAAUAGUCCCUAGGGCACUGAUAGCUGCUAAGAUUGCUGUUUUAGAAGCCUUGCUCUGUUUGUAAAUGAGAGACAUUGUCUUAUGUGAAUAGUGAGAAUGAUACAAAGUCCUGGUUGUGCAAGUGUCUCUAUGAAGGGAGCAGCUGGCCCUUCCUACAGAAGUUCCUUCUGUAGCCUGAGUCACACAGUCAGCACUUGUGGCUCUAUUGGCUGCCUUUAUCUUCUGCAUAAUGGAUAUGAAGGUUGCAUUCAUAGUAUUAAUGAGUAGUGACUCCAGUGGCCAUGGCUGGCACCAAAAAUAGCAUGUUGAUCAUUACCUUUGGUCUUAAAGAAUGAGUAGCACAGAAUGCCUGUGUCCCACCCUAUAUGAGGCCUUUUCUCCCCUGCAGAGCAAACUGGCAUCUUUCUUUGGCUUCUUUCAGAGAACGGGUUUCCAAGCCAGCCAUGAGUAGCCUCUGGAGCUUUUUCUGAGCCAGCUCCUGGUGGGGCAUUGGGCUGUGGUCUAUUCUAAAGAGAGUAGUUGGCAUACACAAAGAAUGAGUUUAUUUGUAAACCACAAUCACAUAAACGUGAAGGAACACACAAUGUCUGCCAGCAAUGUCUUUGACCUGUGUGUGGAAUACACUAGCAAGCAGUGGAAUAAACUAGAACCAUUGGUGUCAGAGCUGGAAGGGCCUUCAGCGUCAUAAGGGCCAAGUCCACAAUGAUGACCAAGAAUAAGCAACCUCCCCAAGGCCAUUCCACCAUUAAGUGAAAGAUCUGGUCACUUCUAACUCCAGUCCAGGUGGCUUUCUAUUGAACCAAAGACCCUCAGUUCCCUGACUUAUAAGAGAGAACAAUACCUGUCCCGCAGGAUGCCCAUAAUGACUAAGUGGGUUAACAUCUAUGCAAGUACCUCACACAAAAAUAGGCCCCAAUUAAAUGUUUAAUAAUAUUUUUCUUAUCAGAUUAAAACCCUGGAGCUUACUUCACUCACCAUUGUCCAUUUUCACCAUGAUCAGUGCUGAUGCUACACUCUUUCCAUCUAUGCAAAACCUGUUGUGAUGCUGGACACAUCACAGGUAUGAGUUUCUGCCCCAGGGCUCAUUGAUGGCACAAAAGUUGAAUUAACCCAUAUAGAAAAUGGUCUCUUUAAAAAAAUAUUUUUAUAUCAACUUUUCCACUUCCAUAAUUAAAGUACAGUGGACCACACGGGCAGAACAAGCCCACAGCCCUUUGACUUAAGGUUUGUUUGACUUGUAGAGCCUUCCUCAGUUCAGAUAUUCAAGGAGUCUCACUCUUCUCAGGAGCAUUUUUAUGUCCAUUGCAUUCCCAAUUAAAAGAAAACAACUUCGGAACUCAGGAAUUUCAUUUCAAUACCCAAGGAAAGAAAUUCUCAAUUUCUUUUCCAUUAGUGGAAUCAAUAACUAAUAGGAAGAUAACCAAAGCUUUAUCAUGUAGAUUUAGUUUAUAGGAUAGCUCCUAAGGCUUGUAAUUACAACUUUGAGAAAACAGUGUAUGCUUAUUCUGUGUGCUGUGUCCUCAUAAGGGUAUACAGGUAAUUUGAAUAAUAGCAUACCAAGGAUGGUGCAUAGAAAAUGCAGGCAAUUUUCCUGAGUCUAGUUUCCUUUGAAUAGAUUUUAGGCUUGGGUAGACUAUUGCCUUUAAGUAUAAUUUUACUCCAAAGGAGAAAAUCUCUGCUGAUAACAGGGUAUCCCUUGACAUAAAUCAGCCAAAAAAUAAUUAUCACAGAAUCGAUGUCACCUAGAAAUUAUACCCAAACUACCCUUUAUGAUAAUUUAUAUCAUGAGACUUUAAAUUUCUUCUAUCAGAAAGUCACAAAAACAUUGAAAAAGUAAACUCCAAAAACAAAAUUUCAGCUGCCUUUUCAAGGAGUUCUAUAUUCAACUCACUCUGGUAAGUUGACUGUGCUAUGGGAAGCAAUCUUUAAUACAUGAUAUUAAAAUAAGAGCUAUUGAUUAGACAGGCACAAGUGCAAAAGAGAGAGGUUAUUAAUUUCAAGAUAUACGAGAACAUUUCCUACUGAUAAGGAGCAAUUUCAUCCUUUAGAAACAAAAUCCUCCAAAGAAACAUAAUGUUCAGAAACUCUUUUUUUGUGUGCUUUGAAAGGGGCAGAAGGACAUUGCUUUUGAAGUGAAAUGCGUGCCACUGUGACAGGAAGAGCACACCAUGACAGAAGGCAAAGAGACGAGACUGCCCAAGGUUUUCUAAUGAUAUAACUAAACUAAAAACAAAACAAAGCACACAACCCCCCACCCCCUGCAGUGUGAGCAGAGUUGAAUUAACGACAUAAAAGACAAAACUGAAAAGCAGCAUCAUAUGGAGAGGAAGAAAAACAGAUGUAAAUAGUAAGAAUGAUGACAGAUACAUAGAAAGAAUACUAAAAAGACAAUGUAUGAAUUCCAGUUCAUAAAAAUAAGGACUAGGAGAACUACCAUUUACUUAGUGUCAACAAUGUGCCAGUUCCUCUGCUCAGUUUUUUUCUGUUGUUUAAGAACUCAAAUGUGAGAAAAUUUAGAAGAAGAAGAUAUUUGAAAUACAGACAGCAAGGACCCCUUUAAGAAUGUGGUGCCAUGCCUUUCGGUCAUGUUAUUAAGGAGGCAUAUGAUUUGUUAAUGCCACCCAGGGCUGGACUCCUUCCAUACUUUAUCAUGAGUAAUUUUCAGGACAAUGCUGUGAGGUAGGUAGCAUUUUUCUCUAUUUUAUAGAUGAAGAAACAAGCUUACAGAAAUUAAGAAGAAAAUAUAGCAAAAAAAAAGCAAUUAGACGUAUAGCAAAAAGAAAUUUUCCUUGUUUGAAAAAGAUAUUAAGACAAGACACAUUGGUAGCUAUUAAUAAGGAAAACUCAUUAAAUGAAAUCCUCACCUAGACAAAAUUUUUUUUAGAAUAAAAUAUUCUGUAAGUAUUGAAAAAAGGUAAAUAAACAAAAAAUGGCUUUUUUUUUUUUUUUUGCCUGGUAAAGAAUUAAGAUCAUCCUUUUGUAAAACUUACAGGAAAUAAUGAGAAGGUCUCUGAAGAGGUGGAAGGGAAAGAGUGUAAGCCCCCAAAAUAUACCUACUCAACUUUUCAUUUCUAUGCAAUGUAAAAAAUAUAUAAUUUAUCCUACUUAAAGCAUCUCAAAGACAGCUUACAUAUAUUAACUUAUUUGAUCAUGGCAACAUGUUACUCCUUAAGGAAGAAACUAGUGUUAUCUCCAUUUUACAAAUGAGAAAACUGAAGAAGAGAUUAACCCAAGCUCACACAGUUAACAGCAAUGUGCAUUAAGUGGCAUUGAUUUCUAGACUUGAAAAUUCUAGUGAGUCACUAAAAUUUUUAAAAAGACUUAAUUGACAGGUUAAACUGUACACUACAAAAAAGAGAGGAAUUGGCCGAGUGUGGUGGCUCACUCCUGUAAUCCCAGCACUUUGGGAGGCUGAGGCGGGCGGAUCACGAGAUCAGGAGAUCGAGAACAUCCUGGCCAACAUGGUGAAACCUGUCUCUACUAAAAAUACAAAAACUAGCCAGGUAUUUUGGUGGACACCGGUAGUCCCAGCUGCUUGGGAGGCUGAAGCAGGAGAAUCGCUUGAGCCCAGGAGGCAGAGGUUGCAGUGAGCUGAGAUCACACCACUGCACUCCAGCCUGGCAAUGGACCAAGACUCUGUUUAAAAAAACAAGAAAGAAGGAAAGAAAGAAAGAAAGAAGGAGAGAGAGAGAGAGAAAGAAAGAAAGGAAGGAAAGAAAAGAAAGAAAGAAAGAAGGGAAUUUGACACUGCAUUUGAAUAUGAAAAUUGAAUUUAAAAAUGCAGUCUAGUAAAUUUGUUUGAGUUCAUUGUAGAUUCUGGAUAUUAUUAGCCCUUUGUCAGAUGAGUAGGUUGCAAAAAUUUUCUCCCAUUCUGUAGGUUGCCUGUUCACUCUGAUGGUAGUUUCUUUUGCUGUGCAGAAGCUCUUUAGUUUAAUUAGAUCCCAUUUGUCAAUUUUGGCUUUUCUUGCCAUUGCUUUUGGUGUUUUAGACAUAAAGUCCUCGCCCAUGCCUAUGUCCUGAAUGGUAUUGUCUAGGUUUUCUUCUAGGGUUUGAUGGUUUUAGGUCUAACAUGUAAGUCUUUAAUCCAUUUUGAAUUAAUUGUUGUAUAAGUUGUAAGGAAGGGAUCCAGUUUCAGCUUUCUACAUAUGGCUAGCCAGUUUUCCCAGUACCAUUUAUUAAAUAGGGAAUCCUUUCCCCAUUGCUUAUUUUUGUCAGGUUUGUCAAAGAUCAGAUAGUUGUAGAUAUGUGGCAUUAUUUCUGAGGGCUCUGUUCUGUUCCAUUGGUCUAUAUCUCUGUUUUGGUACCAGUACCAUGCUGUUUUGGUUACUGUAGCCUUGUAGUAUAGUUUGAAGUCAGGUAGCGUGAUGCCUCCAGCUUUGUUCUUUUGGCUUAGGAUUGACUUGGCGAUGCAGGCUCUUUUUUGGUUGCAUAUGAACUUUAAAGUAGUUUUUUCCAAUUCUGUGAAGAAAGUCAUUGGUAGCGUGAUGGGGAUGGCAUUGAAUCUAUAAAUUACCUUGGGCAGUAUGACCAUUUUCACGAUAUUGAUUCUUCCUACCCAUGAGCAUGGAAUGUUCUUCCAUUUGUUUGUAUCCUCUUUUAUAUCAUUGAGAAGUGGUUUGUAGUUCUCCUUGAAGAGGUCCUUCACAUCCCUUGUAAGGUGGAUUCCUAGGUAUUUUAUUCUCUUUGAAGCAAUUGUGAAUGGGAGUUCACUCAUAAAAACAAACAACCCCAUCAAAAAGUGGGCAAAGGAUAUGAACAGACACUUCUCAAAAGAAGACAUUUAUGCAGCCAAAAAACACAUGAAAAAAUGCUCAUCAUCACUGGCCAUCAGAGAAAGAAAUACAAAUCAAAACCACAAUGAGAUACCAUCUGACACCAGUUAGAAUGGCGAUCGUUAAAAAGUCAGGAAACAACAGGUGCUGGAGAGGAUGUGGAGAAAUAGGAACACUUUUACACUGUUGGUGGGACUGUAAACUAGUUCAACCAUUGUGGAAGUCAGUGUGGCGAUUCCUCAGGGAUCUAGAACUAGAAAUACCAUUUGACCCAGCCAUCCCAUUACUGGGUAUAUACCCAAAGGAUUAUAAAUCAUGCUGCUAUAAAGACACAUGCACACGUAUGUUUAUAGCGGCACUAUUCACAAUAGCAAAGACUUGGAACCAACCUAAAUGUCCAACAACGAUAGACUGGAUUAAGAAAAUGUGGCACAUAUACACCAUGGAAUACUAUGCAGCCAUAAAAAAUGAUGAGUUCAUGUCCUUUGUAGGGACAUGGAUGAAACUGGAAACCGUCAUUCUCAGCAAACUAUCGCAAGGAUAAAAAACCAAACACCUCAUGUUCUCACUCAUAGGUGGGAAUUGAACAAUGAGAACACAUGGACACAGGAAGGGGAACAUCACACACCAGGGACUGUUGUGGGGUGGCGGGAGGGGGGAGGGAUAGCAUUAGGAGAUAUACCUAAUGCUAAAUGACGAGUUAAUGGGUGCAGCACACCAACAUGGCACAUGUAUACAUAUAUAACAAACCUGCAUGUAUACCCUAAAACUUAAAGUAUAAUAAUAAUAAAAUUAAAAAAAAAGAAUACAGUAUAUAAUACAUAUAACACACACACACACAAAAUGCAAUCUAGACAUGAGGAAAUUUCUCAGAAUGAGGCAGAGAGAGUUAAAAGGAAAAAAAGUAAAGACAUUGGAUAACAGAAAGGCAAAUGCCAAAAUAUAUCUGACUAUUCAAGAAACAGAGAAUUAAAAAAUGAGAUGAAGCCAAAAAUGUUGGAUGUAAUUUUGAUACUCAUGUUUUCAUUCAAAUGAUUUUCUUUAUGAUUUCUGCUUUAAUCCAAGAGAUUUUUUUCAACUAAAUUCAGACACAGAAUUUUGAAAGUCAUCUAUUUAGUAUUUACUAGUUUUUUGUUGCUAUUUUAUCAUGGUUUAUUAUUUGUUACUCAUUGUAAAAUUUUUUGUUAUCGUUAUUUUGGUUUUUAUUUUCCCCCGAUUUAAAGAAAGAGAGGAGUCCUCAGUAUAAAAAUUAUACUUAAUCCAACAUGGUUACAAAAUAAAUCUAAAUUACACAAUGCAAA